GAUUCAGUUUUGAGAAGGUUAAAGAACAUAAAACUAUUUCAAGUGAAACGUUCGUGGAAGAAAUAUGGAAAACUUUUAAGUGAGUGUUCUAUGACAAAAAAGAAAUUAAAGAAGUACUCGAUCUUAUUGGUCAAAACGAAAUAUGGCCAAUGGAAUGGACUAAGUACGAGAAAAUAUUAAAAAUGUUGAAGGCUUCGCAAAUUAUGGUACAAAUAUAUGGUAGCUUUUGUUUAAUAGACGUGAACCGUAAUGGCGUUGUUAACGCUAAUGAAUUUGAAGGAUGGAUCGAUGUUCAUGUAAAUUAUGCUUUUGAGGAAUCAGCCACUGAAACGUUCAAGAAGCUAGAUUUAGACGGCAAAUACUUAAGAACAACAUAUUAGUGGAAAUUAUUAUUGAUAAACAUUAACAUUUUUUCAGGUGACGGUUCGAUUGAAUUUUACGAAUAUAUGACAGUAGUUAGUAAUGAUUUUAAGCUGUUAAGAAAACUAGACGUACUCUCAUAACUCUACUCUCGACUCAAGAAAAUAUUUAUUUAUUGAAAAAUAAAACAGUUU